AGAGAGAGAGAGAGAGAGAGAGAGAGUGGGUUGCAGAGAGAAUGUGGAGAAGAGCUCUGUCGUUGUUUCCACAAAGGCGCUUCUCUUCUGAACCUGAAAUCCCAUCCCUUUAUUCCUUCCUACAACCAUCAAUCUUUGCCCUGAAAAAGACCACACCCACUUCCUCUAACCCACUCAAACCCCAAGAAACAACCUCACAAACCCUAACCCUAGAUCACCAAACCAGUUUAGAAACCACCCUCCAGACAUCCCUCAACAGCAACAGCACUGAUGAGGCAUGGAAGUCCUUCAAGGCCCUCACCAGUAGCGCUUCAUUCCCAAGUAAGCCUCUCACCAACUCUCUCAUCACCCACUUGUCUUCAGUCACUGACACCCACAAUCUCAAGAGGGCUUUUGCCUCUGUGGUUUUCUUGCUAGAGAAAAACCCAAAAUUGUUGGAGUAUGGAACUGUUGAAACCCUUUUGAAUUCAAUGAAAAUGGCUAAUACUGGUGCCCCUGCUUUUGCAUUGAUCAAGUGCAUGUUCAAGAAUCGAUAUUUUGUACCUUUUAGCGUUUGGGGUAAUGUUCUGGUUGAUAUUAGUAGGAAAAAUGGUAGCUUUGUAGCGUUUUUGCAGGUUUUCAAUGAGAAUUGUAGGAUUGCAUUAGAUGAAAAGUUGGGUUUCAUGAAACCCGAUUUGAUAGCUUGUAAUGCGGCGUUGGAGGGGUGUUGCCGCGACCUUGAAUCAGUAAGUGAUGCCGAAAAAGUGGUGGAAACAAUGUCGGUUUUUGGUGUUCAGCCUGAUGAGUUGAGUUUCGGAUUUCUUGCUUAUUUGUAUGCAUUGAAAGGGCUUGAAGAAAAGAUAAUUGAGUUAGAAGAUUUGAUGAGUGGAUUUGGUUUUUCGAACAAAAGGGUGUUUUACAGUAAUUUGAUUAGUGGGUAUGUGAAGGCAGGUAAAUUGGAGUCUGUUUCAGCAAUUGUUCUGCGUAGUAUCAGAGAAGGAGAUGGACAAGAUUCAUGUUUUAGGGAAGAAAUUUAUAGUGAACUGGUAAAAGCAUUUCUUGAAACCGGUAUGAAAAAUUUAACGAGUUUGAUAAUUGAAGCCCAAAAGUUGGAGCCUUCAUCGACUGUGGCUGAUAGAUCUAUUGGAUAUGGAAUUGUCAAUGCUUGUGUUAAUCUUGGGUUUCUAGAUAAGGCUCAAAGCAUUCUUAAUGAAAUGAGUGCUCAGGGAGGUUGUGUUGGGCUUGGAGUGUAUGUGUCAAUCUUACAGGCUUACUGCAAAGAGCAACGAACAGCUGAAGCUGCUCAGUUGGUUGCGGAGAUCAGUGAUUCAGGGCUCCAAUUAGAUGUUGGUAGCUAUGAUGCUCUAAUAGAAGCAUCCAUGUCAAGCCAAGAUUUUCAAUCAGCAUUUUCUCUGUUUAGGGACAUGAGAGAAGCAAGAAUACCUGACUUGAAAGGAAGUUAUUUGACCAUAAUGACAGGUUUAACAGAGAACCACCGGCCUGAGCUAAUGGCAGCAUUCUUAGAUGAGGUUGUAGAGGACCCUCGAGUUGAAGUGGGUACGCAUGAUUGGAAUUCAAUUAUUCACGCCUUCUGCAAGGCUGGACGGUUAGAAGAUGCAAAGAGGACUUUCAGAAGGAUGAUUUUCCUUCAGUUUGAACCAAAUGAGCAGACAUACAUCUCCCUCAUAAAUGGGUACGCAACUGCAGAAAAGUACUUCAGUGUUUUGAUGCUGUGGAAUGAGGUUAAGAGAAGAGUUUCAGUCGAUGGAGAGAAGAGGUUCAAAUUAGACCACAACUUGGUUGAAGCAUUUCUUUAUGCUCUGGUAAAGGGUGGUUUCUUUGAUGCGGUGAUGCAAGUCGUGGAGAAGUCUCAGGAGAUGAAGAUUUUUGUUGAUAAGUGGAGGUACAAGCAAAUAUUCAUGGAAAAGCAUAAGAAGCUCAAAGUAUCGAAGUUGAGAAAGAGAAACUUUAGGAAAAUGGAAGCACUUAUUGCUUUCAAGAAUUGGGCUGGUCUGAAUGCGUGAAUGAACUUCACAUCUUUGUGCUGCUUAUUUUUUCACUCAAGCUUCUUCUCUCAGUAAUGAGGUUAGUGAUUAUGGAAGUUGGUAAAAAGGAAUUCAGCAGACUAAAGUAGCAUGUUGCUUUUGAAAACUUCUGCAUCACAAGCUGCCAUAGCUCAGAUGCAGAAUAGAACUUUGUAGGCUACUGGGCAGCAUUGAAAAUGGAAACUGAAGAAGAUGAUCAUUUUAUUUUAUUUUUAUAGAUACUUGAGAAAAAUGAUUAUUAGGAAAACAGUAACUUUUUGCGGUUUCAAAAACCAGGCUGGUCAGAAUGCUAGUACUUCACAAGCACCUGAUUCUGACUACGUUUGCUUGGGAUGGUAGCUGCAGAGCCUUGUAUUUGCUCUUCAAUAAUGCUGUGUGAUAUGUGCAUGUGGGGGAAGGUCUUGAGGCCACGUUUGGUAUGGUGGAAUUGAAUGGAGGGAUCACCACUGAACCAUCUUACAGCAGAGCUGCUAGCACCAUCUUCUUCAUCCAUAAUUGCACCUCCUCGGCUCCAACUAACAGAUCUGCACAUGCCACCUCCCUAACUGCCUCUUAUAAGGUUUUUCAUCCUAGGAUGGACGUUAGUCAAUUUGUCCCAUAACAACCCAUCAAAAGUCAAAUGACUCAAACCAAUGUUCUUAUCCAUGUCUCUCCCAAUUGCCCCAAAAUAGUCACUUAUAUAAAGGUUCAAAUGGAGCUCAAAUCAUAUAGUUCAAAUGGAUAAGCCAAAGGGCGUGUUGUUUGAGCCAACUCAUCUAGUCUGUAAGGGGCAUUUCUAGGAUGCACAAGCGCUGAAGCGCCUUAAAGAUGUACAACAAUUUGGUUCAGAAGGUGAAGCUAUUGAGCCUUCUAUUAACAUAAUUGAAGGACAGUGGAGAAUAGCUUGGUGAUGACAAGGCUUGAAGGCUUGACUCGUUGCGGGUUGCUCUCAGUUCGGUUAAAGAGUUUAUCCGCUCGGUCAAUGAAGGCAUAAAGCUCUUUCAGACUAGGAAGUUGGGAAGGCAAAGAAGCUUAGAUCUUGACUUGUUGAUGAAUUCACCUCCUUGGCCACCCAUUGACAGCCCUGGGUUAAAGGAAGACGAGAAACGAUUAUUGGUGAAAAGCUCUCGCCUGCCUAAUUUAGUCAAAUUUGGAGUGACGAUUUCAUCGAAUUUCAAACAACUAUGCCUCAAUUUCAUUGGGUCGCUGGACUGAUGUAUGAUUUGGACUGACAAUUUCCUCUAUCAAAGUCUUCUGUUUCUCGCUUUUCAACCACAUCAACUACUUCUUGAUUCCGGCAUCGUCGUUGCUGGAGAAGACGAGAGGCAACAACUUUAGGAUUCUUGCAACUUCUGGACCCUGUCACUCACUCUCAUAUCUAUCUCUGUAAUCACCAUACUCAAACCCAAACCCAGAUACCGUUUUUAGAGAGAGAAAGAUGAACAUGAAAACAAAAUUAAAAUUAUAAUUUACUGAACUUACUUUCUAUUUUUUUAGAGGAGAAAGAUGACCACAAAAUCAAAAUCAAAUCAUGUUGUAUUUGAGCAAAACCAGCAAAUCGAGGGCUUAACUGAUCGGUGAUGGUGAAAUCUGAAAUCGCCCUCGAAUUGCCAGAGACAUAAUCAGGAGAGGAGAGAGAAAAAGUUGUCCAAAAUGACCUAAAAUGUUUAUAUACCUAGGGCAAGUAUGUUUUAAGUUGGGCUGGGUGUUUCCUCUGCUACAGUGAAUAUUAUGGGCGAAUGGUGCCGAAACAAGUUAAAACAUCAUUUCGGUGUUUCAGUUU